rnacentral:rRNA from 1 species
GGCUGCGCGCAGCUGAUGCAGCCAUGCCGCGUGUAUGAAGAAGGCCUUCGGGUUGUAAAGUACUUUCAGCGGGGAGGAAGGGAGUAAAGUUAAUACCUUUGCUCAUUGACGUUACCCGCAGAAGAAGCACCGGCUAACUCCGUG